CAGCAUCUUCUGCAAGAGAGGGAAGAGCUGAUCAGUCCCUGCUGCCCCGAGGCCAGGAAUCACUGGGAGAGCCUCCGGGCAGGCUCAGCUGCAUCUCACAAGGGAUAUUAAGCACUAAGUGCUCCUAUAAAUAAAAAGGUCAUUAACAUGAAAAAGAACAAAGGGAGAAGUGGAGAUUCUAUGUGCUGAGGAUGGAUGGAAUUUAAAGGAACUGAAGGAAUAAAACAGUUGCUGCUGUACCAGAUGGGAUAUUAUGACUUAAAUUGGAGAAGAUGGAUAAUAAUGAAAAGCCAUAAUAUGACCAAGGAGAUGAAUAACUGGCUAAAGGAGAGAUGAGAAGCAGUGUCAGUGGGAGCUGCAGGCUGGAGGGAGUUGCGAGUGAAUUUUCUGACAGACAAGAGAAGGGACCAAUUUUAUUUAAUAUUUUCAUUAGCAAUGUCGGUACAAAAAUCAGAAAUAUGCCGAGGGAAUGUCGAGAUAAAAGCCAGAUACGUGCUCGGUAACGCUGAGCUGGGAAGCUUCAAUACAGCUCUUCUUAGAGAGGAAGAGAUGGAUGAUCUUCAGCACUGCAAUAGCAGAAACAGAAUGUACUGGCAUCUUAACAAGUAUUAAGAAACUUGGCUUUAAACGGGAAAUCAGGCAGCUGGGAAGAAAACCAGACAUACUGAUGGACCACGGGCAGGGCUGGGAGGUGUGUAAGCCGUGCAGGGUUCUGUGCAUGGGGAGCCCCGAGCUGGGGGUGUCCGAGGGGAGCCGGGGACCCCAGCAACACAGCCUGCCUGUGGCAGCACGCAUCUCUGAAAUGGGGCAGGUUCCAGACCUUGGCAGGGGAUUUCAGGCACGGUAUGGCUCCCAAAUUGCCAUAAUCCUUACUGGGAGCAAAGCAGAGCUGAAAGAAGUGAUUCUGCAUUCUCAUGUCUGGGCAUUUCUUUUCUUUGUCCAGCACAAGCAUUGACCUCCACAGGUAUUUUCAGUGUAUUUAGGUGUGGAAGCAGAAUUCAGUGGACAGAAACUGUCAAGCCAGUUCACCACAGCUGCAGAUGCCCUCACGUGGUCUGGCUCAAUGCACGCUUGGCGUUUGAAAUCAUGGAAUCAUAUGCAGGGCUGCAGCACUGGGCCUGGAGCCGCGCACUGGUGCUGCUGCCCUCCCCACGGCAGUAGCAAUGCUGGCCAAAAGCCAUGAGAUAAUUCAAAGCCAGAGGUGAAAACUGGUGAAGGAAACCUGAUCCCCAGCAGGGGCCACGUGGGGAGCAGCCCCAGGUUCUGCAACAAUAACGAAUGCAAAGGAGGUCCCCUAAGAGCAGCCCUGAAAUGAUAACCCUGCCCGGCACAUGUGCUUC
ensembl:lncRNA